UCAUUUCUUAUUGGACAUCCUGGAAAUGCUUCCGCUCUUUCCACAACAACUACAACAUCCCCUUCCACUCCUUCAACCUCAUCAUCAUCAUCAUCACCAUCAUCAUCCAUGACCAUUCCUCUCUCUCCAUCCGCACGUCCACCAUCCAAGUUUACCUCACGCCAUCAAUUUCUUUGUGAAAACUCCUUACUGGUGCCUCCUGCCAUCUCCAGCCCAAAAACAACUCAACUCAUUAAAGAUCUUUAAAGAAUAGAACCGGUCCUUUCUUCACUCUGCCUUCCUCCUCACCUCCAGCAUCCAGACUCUCAGAUCCAGAUAUCGCUCCCUUUCAGUCGAUGCUGUCCUUGAAUCCAUGUUCCUCCUCACCUCCUGCAUCCAUACCCUCAGAUCCAGAUAUCUCCCCCUUUCAGUCGAUGCUCUCCUUGAAUCCAUGUUCCUCUUCGCCUUCUUCAGAUUCCUGAGAUGCUAUGAAUUUACCUCCUUGUCCUUUUUGUGGUUUGCACUGCACAAGCCACCUGCUCCGGACACAGGACACCUUCCCCAAACACCUAGAGUCCCGAUCCCCACCAAUCACUCCUUUACGACUCCAAUCAUCUCUGAUGAUGUCACUUCCUGUUCCUCCUCCUCUCCUGCCAGUUGAGGUGGUUUGUUGGUUGAUUCAGAUUAGUUGGUUGUUGAUGAUCAUCUCUGAUGAUGUCACUUCCUGUUCCCCCUCCUCUCCUGACAGUUGAGAUGGUUUGUUGGUUGAUUCAGAUUAGUUGGUUGUUGAUGAUCAUCUCUGACAGUCAACAUGUACAAAACUCUCAUCAUCUACACAUUCUUUUGGCUCACAGGUCUCUGUCUCAGUGUUGAGGUUCACCAGACUCCCUCUGCAGUCUACAGCAGACCUGGAGAGAAUGUUCAACUCUUCUGCCAACAUCAGAAAACAGACUACACACUAAUGCUGUGGUACCAGAAACCACAAGGAGAAACAGCAUUGAAACUCAUUGGAUAUUUGAAUUUUAAUUCUCAAACCAUUGAGAGUUCACAUGAAAAGCAUUUUAAUAUGAGUGGGGAUUUGGGUGGAGGUGGCCCAAAGAAUGCCUCUCUGAACAUGUUCAACUUGAAACGACCCCAACACAGUGCAGUGUAUUUCUGUGCUGCUAGUUAUGCACAGUGUUGCAGAUUCCCCUGUCUACACUACAAAAACCUUCUCUCAGUCACUGUCUCACUACAGCUGUCUGAUGCCACACUACAUUUUGUCAUUACGUCAUUGAUGAGGUCACUUCCUGUUCCUCCUCUCCAGUCAGUUCAGAUGAGAUGAGAUGUCAGGUGGUUUUCAGCGAACACUAAGGCCCCGUCUAGACUUGACAGUUCAUGCAGCUUUAGUGUUCUGAUCAUAGAGAUCUGAUCAUGGAAUUCCCAACACUUCAUGAAUCUACACAUACAUUUAAAUGUCCGUGUCCACAGUGUGUCUUGAUUUGAGAGAGAGAGAAGGGGAGAGGGAGAAGGGGAGAGGGAGAGGGGGAGAGAGAGAGGGGGAGAGAGAGAAAGGGAGAGAG
rnacentral:lncRNA from 13 species